rnacentral:rRNA from 1 species
CGGCCACAUUGGGACUGAGAUACGGCCCAGACUCCUACGGGAGGCAGCAGUGGGGAAUAUUGCACAAUGGGCGCAAGCCUGAUGCAGCGACGCCGCGUGCGGGAUGACGGCCUUCGGGUUGUAAACCGCUUUUGAUCGGGAGCAAGCCUUCGGGUGAGUGUACCUUUCGAAUAAGCACCGGCUAACUACGUGCCAGCAGCCGCGGUAAUACGUAGGGUGCAAGCGUUAUCCGGAAUUAUUGGGCGUAAAGGGCUCGUAGGCGGUUCGUCGCGUCCGGUGUGAAAGUCCAUCGCUUAACGGUGGAUCUGCGCCGGGUACGGGCGGGCUGGAGUGCGGUAGGGGAGACUGGAAUUCCCGGUGUAACGGUGGAAUGUGUAGAUAUCGGGAAGAACACCAAUGGCGAAGGCAGGUCUCUGGGCCGUUACUGACGCUGAGGAGCGAAAGCGUGGGGAGCGAACAGGAUUAGAUACCCUGGUAGUCCACGCCGUAAACGGUGGAUGCUGGAUGUGGGGCCCGUUCCACGGGUUCCGUGUCGGAGCUAACGCGUUAAGCAUCCCGCCUGGGGAGUACGGCCGCAAGGCUAAAACUCAAAGAAAUUGACGGGGGCCCGCACAAGCGGCGGAGCAUGCGGAUUAAUUCGAUGCAACGCGAAGAACCUUACCUGGGCUUGACAUGUUCCCGACAGCCGUAGAGAUACGGCCUCCCUUCGGGGCGGGUUCACAGGUGGUGCAUGGUCGUCGUCAGCUCGUGUCGUGAGAUGUUGGGUUAAGUCCCGCAACGAGCGCAACCCUCGCCCUGUGUUGCCAGCACGUCAUGGUGGGAACUCACGGGGGACCGCCGGGGUCAACUCGGAGGAAGGUGGGGAUGACGUCAGAUCAUCAUGCCCCUUACGUCCAGGGCUUCACGCAUGCUACAAUGGCCGGUACAACGGGAUGCGACAUGGCGACAUGGAGCGGAUCCCUGAAAACCGGUCUCAGUUCGGAUUGGAGUCUGCAACCCGACUCCAUGAAGGCGGAGUCGCUAGUAAUCGCGGAUCAGCAACGCCGCGGUGAAUGCGUUCCCGGGCCUUGUACACACCGCCCGUCAAGUCAUGAAAGUGGGUAGCACCCGAAGCCGGUGGCCUAACCCCUUGUGGGAUGGAGCCGUCUAAGGUGAGACUCGUGAUUGGGACUAAGUCGUAACAAGGUAGCCGUACCGGAAGGUGCGGCUG